rnacentral:rRNA from 2 species
GUUCGAACGAUGAACCGCUUUCGGGCGGGGAUUAGUGGCGAACGGGUGAGUAACACGUGGGCAAUCUGCCCUGCACUCUGGGACAAGCCCUGGAAACGGGGUCUAAUACCGGAUAUGACUGUCCGCCGCAUGGUGGAUGGUGUAAAGCUCCGGCGGUGCAGGAUGAGCCCGCGGCCUAUCAGCUUGUUGGUGAGGUAGUGGCUCACCAAGGCGACGACGGGUAGCCGGCCUGAGAGGGCGACCGGCCACACUGGGACUGAGACACGGCCCAGACUCCUACGGGAGGCAGCAGUGGGGAAUAUUGCACAAUGGGCGAAAGCCUGAUGCAGCGACGCCGCGUGAGGGAUGACGGCCUUCGGGUUGUAAACCUCUUUCAGCAGGGAAGAAGCGAAAGUGACGGUACCUGCAGAAGAAGCGCCGGCUAACUACGUGCCAGCAGCCGCGGUAAUACGUAGGGCGCAAGCGUUGUCCGGAAUUAUUGGGCGUAAAGAGCUCGUAGGCGGCUUGUCACGUCGGUUGUGAAAGCCCGGGGCUUAACCCCGGGUCUGCAGUCGAUACGGGCAGGCUAGAGUUCGGUAGGGGAGAUCGGAAUUCCUGGUGUAGCGGUGAAAUGCGCAGAUAUCAGGAGGAACACCGGUGGCGAAGGCGGAUCUCUGGGCCGAUACUGACGCUGAGGAGCGAAAGCGUGGGGAGCGAACAGGAUUAGAUACCCUGGUAGUCCACGCCGUAAACGGUGGGCACUAUGUGUGGGCAACAUUCCACGUUGUCCGUGCCGCAGCUAACGCAUUAAGUGCCCCGCCUGGGGGAGUACGCCGCAAGCUAAAC